CAAAGCUUAUAGGAAGGUCCAAACCUUAAGCAAGAACACCAAAGAGGUAAGAGCAAGGGCAAGGCAGAGCAGUGAGCGCUGAAGUCUUCCUUGCAAAUGUACAUGUGGACCGACCUUUUGGGAAGCCUUUUUAUUUUUGGAAAUGUUGUGUAAUUUUCCUAAACUAGGCUCACUCUAAUCUUUGUAAAACAUGUUUGUAACUAAAUGUUAAGUAUGGCCAUACGACUUUUUAAAAAGUUUUUUUUUCUAUGGGUUUUUGAGACAUUUUGUUAAAUGAAAACAUUUAUAUUUC